UACGUAGGGGGGCAAGCGUCUCGGUCGAUUUGUGGCGUAAAGCGCGUGUAGGCGGUCCGGUAAGUCCGCUGUGAAAGUCGGGGGGCUCAACCCUCGAAUGCCGGUGGAUACUGUCGGGCUAGAGUGCGGAAGAGGCGAGUGGAAUUCCUGGUGUAGCGGUGAAAUGCGCAGAUAUCAGGAGGAACACCAAUUGCGAAGGCAGCUCGCUGGGACGUUACUGACGCUGGAGACGCGAAAGCGUGGGGAGCAAACAGG
rnacentral:rRNA from 1 species